rnacentral:rRNA from 1 species
GACGUGAGGGGGCAAGCGUUAUCCGGAUUUAUUGGGCGUAAAGGGCGCGUAGGCGGUGCGGUAAGUCACCUGUGAAAUCUCCUGGCUCAACUGGGAGCUUGGCAGGCGAAACUGCCGUGCUGGAGUGUGGGAGAGGUGCGUGGAAUUCCUGGUGUAGCGGUGAAAUGCGUAGAUAUCAGGAGGAACACCGGUGGCGAAGGCGGCAUCCUGGACCGACACUGACGCUGAUGAGCGAAAGCCAGGGGAGCAAACGGG